rnacentral:rRNA from 1 species
AGUCACUGACUAUAGACUACCCGUGUACGUCCCAGCCGUAACUAUGCGCGUUAGGUGUACUGGUGACCACGAGUCACCGGGGUGCCGAAGGGAAACCGUGAAACGUGCCGCCUGGGAAGUACGGUCGCAAGGCUGAAACUUAAAGGAAUCGGCGGGGAGCACCACAACAGGUGGAGCCUGCGGUUUAAUUGGAUUCAACGCCGGACAUCUCACCGGAUAAGACAGCUGAAUGAUUGUCAAUCUGAAGGUUUUACAUGACUAGCUG